UAUGCUUAACACAUGCAAGUCGAACGGUAACAGGCUAGCUUGCUAGCGCUGACGAGUGGCGGACGGGUGCGUAACGCGUAGGAAUCUGCCUAUUAGUGGGGGACAACAUGGUGAAAACCAUGCUAAUACCGCAUACGCCCUACGGGGGAAAGCGGGGGAUCUUCGGACCUCGCGCUAAUAGAUGAGCCUGCGUUAGAUUAGCUUGUUGGUGAGGUAAUGGCUCACCAAGGCGACGAUCUAUAGCUGUUCUGAGAGGAAGAUCAGCCACACUGGGACUGAGACAUGGCCCAGACUCCUACGGGAGGCAGCAGUGGGGAAUAUUGGACAAUGGGCGAAAGCCUGAUCCAGCAAUACCGCGUGUGUGAAGAAGGCCUGAGGGUUGUAAAGCACUUUCAAUUGGGAGGAAAACAGGCAGGUCAAUAUCCUGUCUCUUGACAUUACCUUUAGAAGAAGCACCGGCUAACUCCGUGCCAGCAGCCGCGGUAAUAACGGAGGGUGCAAGGCGUUAAUCGGAAUUACUGGGCGUAAAGGAGUUCGUAGGUGGUUUAGUUAAGUUAGAUGUGAAAGCCCCGGGCUUAACCUGGGAACUGCAUUUAAAAACUGGCAAACUAGAGUUUAGUAGAGGGAAGUGGAAUUUCAGGUGUAGCAGUGAAAUGCGUAGAGAUCUGAAGGAACACCAGUGGCGAAGGCGACUUCCUGGACUAAAACUGGCGCUGAGGAACGAAAGCGUGGGUAGCAAACGGGAUUAGAUACCCCGGUAGUCCACGCCGUAAACGAUGUCAACUAGCCGUUGGGUCUAUUUAUAGACUUAGUGGCGGAGCUAACGUAUUAAGUUGACCGCCUGGGGAGUACGGCCGCAAGGUUAAAACUCAAAUGAAUUGACGGGGGCCCGCACAAGCGGUGGAGCAUGUGGUUUAAUUCGAUGCAACGCGAAGAACCUUACCUACCCUUGACAUCCAGAGAAUCUGUUAGAGAUAGUAGAGUGCCUUCGGGAACUCUGAGACAGGUGCUGCAUGGCUGUCGUCAGCUCGUGUCGUGAGAUGU
rnacentral:rRNA from 1 species